rnacentral:rRNA from 1 species
GAGACCGGCGCACGGGCGCGUAACGCGUAUGCAAUCUACCUUGUACAGGGGGAUAGCCCAGAGAAAUUUGGAUUAAUACCCCAUGGUAUAAUUAAUUUGCAUGAAUUGAUUAUUAAAGUUCCAACGGUACAAGAUGAGCAUGCGUCCCAUUAGCUAGUUGGUGUGGUAACGGCAUACCAAGGCGACGAUGGGUAGGGGUCCUGAGAGGGAGAUCCCCCACACUGGUACUGAGACACGGACCAGACUCCUACGGGAGGCAGCAGUGAGGAAUAUUGGUCAAUGGUCGGAAGACUGAACCAGCCAUGCCGCGUGCAGGAAGAAGCAUCUAUGGUGUGUAAACUGCUUUUGCACGGGAAGAAACACUCCUACGUGUAGGAGCUUGACGGUACCGUAAGAAUAAGGAUCGGCUAACUCCGUGCCAGCAGCCGCGGUAAUACGGAGGAUCCAAGCGUUAUCCGGAAUCAUUGGGUUUAAAGGGUCCGUAGGCGGUUGAAUAAGUCAGUGGUGAAAUCCGGCAGCUUAACUGUCGAACUGCCAUUGAUACUGUUUAACUUGAAUUACUGUGAAGUAACUAGAAUAUGUAGUGUAGCGGUGAAAUGCUUAGAUAUUACAUGGAAUACCAAUUGCGAAGGCAGGUUACUAAUGGUUUAUUGACGCUGAUGGACGAAAGCGUGGGGAGCGAACAGGAUUAGAUACCCUGGUAGUCCACGCUGUAAACGAUGGAUACUAGCUGUUGGGAGUAAUUUCAGUGGCUAAGCGAAAGUGAUAAGUAUCCCACCUGGGGAGUACGAACGCAAGUUUGAAACUC